UCAAGUUGGAUGAGCAACGUUGGUA
rnacentral:piRNA from 1 species